UGGAAGAAGAAAAGGAUCCUGACGCAAAUAUCUUCAUGACCCGGAUUUCACCCAAUGACAAGGGGACACAGAAAACGCAGAAAAUAAAGACAUCCUUCAUAAGACCACCUGUCACUGGGAAUGGCGACCGUUUACACCCAUCUCCAUGCGAUGUCAUACAACGCAUAUCUUCGCAACUCGUCGAUCUGUGCGACAUGACACGCCUCAUUGUGAACAACUACAGUACUGUUCUAGUGCUGAAGCUCAUGCUAAACGUGUUCCACCUCGUCGUCAGCCCAUACUUCGCCAUUAUUGAAAUUCAACUAAGGGCACCCAAUAGCCCCUGGGGACAUUACAUGAUCCUACAAUGUGCGUGGUACACGAUACACAUCUUGAGGUUGUUUUUGGUGGUGGAACCGUGCUACUACACCAUA